rnacentral:rRNA from 1 species
AUUGAACGCUGGCGGCAGGCCUAACACAUGCAAGUCGAACGGUAGCACAGAGAGCUUGCUCUCGGGUGACGAGUGGCGGACGGGUGAGUAAUGUCUGGGAAACUGCCCGAUGGAGGGGGAUAACUACUGGAAACGGUAGCUAAUACCGCAUAACGUCGCAAGACCAAAGUGGGGGACCUUCGGGCCUCACACCAUCGGAUGUGCCCAGAUGGGAUUAGCUAGUAGGUGGGGUAAUGGCUCACCUAGGCGACGAUCCCUAGCUGGUCUGAGAGGAUGACCAGCCACACUGGAACUGAGACACGGUCCAGACUCCUACGGGAGGCAGCAGUGGGGAAUAUUGCACAAUGGGCGCAAGCCUGAUGCAGCCAUGCCGCGCGUAUGAAGAAGGCCUUCGGGUUGUAAAGUACUUUCAGCGGGGAGGAAGGCGGUGGAGUUAAUAACUUCACCGAUUGACGUUACCCGCAGAAGAAGCACCGGCUAACUCCGUGCCAGCAGCCGCGGUAA